ensembl:lncRNA
ACCAGUGGACCAUUGACAAUCCUAAAUGAGAUUGUAGAUAGAGUGUUAAUGGACCAUUUGAGGAUUAGGUGGUGGCAAUGCAUUAUAAGUCAGCGAUCCGCCGUAAAGCAACAAGAAGAUGAUGAUGUCUCAGGUGCCUGCUGCUGUGAAGCGCAUUCACAAGAGUUCUAACAGUUCGGACAUUGUGUGAAUCAGAGAUUCUAUUACCAUUUGCCAAGCAUUGUACUGCUGAGAGACUGCAACGCCUGAAGCUAAAAAUCAUAAUUUGUGUUCUGCUGAAGAAACAAAGUCACCUACAUCUUGGAUGCCCUGGAGGUGCUGCGGCUGCUGUGAUGGGGCCCCUGGGGGAAGUAGAGCGCAGUCUCGUGGGUACCCCCCGGCCUGCGAGGGGCGAUGUGGAUAUGUGAUGAGUGGGGUGGAUCUGAGAGCUGUGGGAACAGAGUGAGGCCAGUGGAGUAAAUGAUAAUAGGAGCUCUGGAAGGAUGAAAGGAGGAGUGACGACAGUGCAAGAUGACAGAGAACCAGGCCUGGAUUUUGUUUUGUUUGUGCAUGGCAGUCGUCCGUGAGGGGCUGUCGCAUUAUGUUCUGUUUGGUGUUUAUUUUGUUGUUAAAUUGUUUACAUGUUUACCGGUUCCCGCCUCCUUCCUUCCGACCUAUGAACUGUAUUACAGAAGCUUUUAGCAAAUAUUUAAAAUGCAUCUUAUCACUCUUCACAAUCUAGAAACAAUGUGAAUGAACACCACAACAGCUUAAGCAGCAGACUUUGCAAAACACAAUUUAUUUCAUUGCCAAAACUUUUGACCAUGACUAUAUAUAUUUAUAUGAGAAUAUUAAGACAUUUAAUUUAAUCAUUUAG